rnacentral:misc_RNA from 1 species
GAUGAAGAACGCAGCAAAAUGCGAUAAGUAAUGUGAAUUGCAGAAUUCAGUGAAUCAUCGAAUCUUUGAACGCACAUUGCGCCCGCUGGUAUUCCGGCGGGCAUGCCUGUUCGAGCGUCAUUUCAACCCUCAAUCCCCCGGGUUUGGUGUUGGGGAUCGGCUCUGCCCUUCUGGGCGGUGCCGCCCCCGAAAUACAUUGGCGGUCUCGCUGCAGCCUCCAUUGCGUAGUAGCUAACACCUCGCAACUGGAACGCGGCGCGGCCAUGCCGUAAAACCCCAACUUCUGAAUGUUGACCUCGGAUCAGGUAGGAAUACCCGCUGAACUUAAGCAUAUCAAUAAGCGGAGGA